rnacentral:tRNA from 1 species
GCCCCCGUGGUGUAGCCUGGAUACAUCGCUCCUCGCACGGAGCGUGGCAGAGAGCAUUGAGGCUUGCGGAGCCUUAGACCCGGGUUCAAAUCCCGGCGGGGGCA